rnacentral:rRNA from 1 species
GGCCAGACUCCUACGGGAGGCAGCAGUGGGGAAUAUUGCACAAUGGGGGAAACCCUGAUGCAGCGACGCCGCGUGAGUGAAGAAGUAAUUCGUUAUGUAAAGCUCUAUCAGCAGGGAAGAAAAUGACGGUACCUGAGUAAGAAGCCCCGGCUAACUACGUGCCAGCAGCCGCGGUAAUACGUAGGGGGCAAGCGUUAUCCGGAUUUACUGGGUGUAAAGGGAGCGUAGACGGCAGUGCAAGUCUGGAGUGAAAGGCGGGGGCUCAACCCCCGGACUGCUCUGGAAACUGUACGGCUUGAGUGCAGGAGAGGUAAGGGGAAUUCCUAGUGUAGUGGUGAAAUGCGUAGAUAUUAGGAGGAACACCAGUUGCGAAGGCGGCUCUCUGGACUGUAACUGACACUGAGGCACGAAAGCGUGGGGAGCAAACAGGAUUAGAUACCCUUGUAU